GAGUUUGAUCCUGGCUCAGGAUGAACGCUAGCGGCAGGCUUAACACAUGCAAGUCGAGGGGCAUCGGGAGGGAAGCUUGCUUUCCUUGCCGGCGACCGGCGCACGGGUGAGUAACACGUAUGCAACCUGCCCUCUUCAGGGGGACAACCUUCCGAAAGGGAGGCUAAUCCCGCGUAUAUCGGUUUCGGGCAUCCGAGAUCGAGGAAAGAUUCAUCGGAAGAGGAUGGGCAUGCGGCGCAUUAGCUUGACGGCGGGGUAACGGCCCACCGUGGCGACGAUGCGUAGGGGUUCUGAGAGGAAGGUCCCCCACACUGGUACUGAGACACGGACCAGACUCCUACGGGAGGCAGCAGUGAGGAAUAUUGGUCAAUGGGAGAGAUCUUGAACCAGCCAAGCCGCGUGAGGGAAGACGGCCCUAUGGGUUGUAAACCUCUUUUGUCGGAGAACAAAACCCGGGACGUGUCCCGGACUGCGUGUAUCCGAAGAAAAAGCAUCGGCUAACUCCGUG
rnacentral:rRNA from 1 species